GCGGACGGGUGAGUAACACGUGGAUAACCUACCUAUAAGACUGGGAUAACUUCGGGAAACCGGAGCUAAUACCGGAUAACAUAUUGAACCGCAUGGUUCAAUAGUGAAAGGCGGCUUUGCUGUCACUUAUAGAUGGAUCCGCGCCGUAUUAGCUAGUUGGUAAGGUAACGGCUUACCAAGGCAACGAUACGUAGCCGACCUGAGAGGGUGAUCGGCCACACUGGAACUGAGACACGGUCCAGACUCCUACGGGAGGCAGCAGUAGGGAAUCUUCCGCAAUGGGCGAAAGCCUGACGGAGCAACGCCGCGUGAGUGAUGAAGGUCUUCGGAUCGUAAAACUCUGUUAUCAGGGAAGAACAAAUGUGUAAGUAACUGUGCACAUCUUGACGGUACCUGAUCAGAAAGCCACGGCUAACUACGUGCCAGCAGCCGCGGUAAUACGUAGGUGGCAAGCGUUAUCCGGAAUUAUUGGGCGUAAAGCGCGCGUAGGCGGUUUUUUAAGUCUGAUGUGAAAGCCCACGGCUCAACCGUGGAGGGUCAUUGGAAACUGGAAAACUUGAGUGCAGAAGAGGAAAGUGGAAUUCCAUGUGUAGCGGUGAAAUGCGCAGAGAUAUGGAGGAACCACCAGUGGCGAAGGCGACUUUCUGGUCUGUAACUGACGCUGAUGUGCGAAAGCGUGGGGAUCAAACAGGAUUAGAUACCCUGGUAGUCCACGCCGUAAACGAUGAGUGCUAAGUGUUAGGGGGUUUCCGCCCCUUAGUGCUGCAGCUAACGCAUUAAGCACUCCGCCUGGGGAGUACGACCGCAAGGUUGAAACUCAAAGGAAUUGACGGGGACCCGCACAAGCGGUGGAGCAUGUGGUUUAAUUCGAAGCAACGCGAAGAACCUUACCAAAUCUUGACAUCCUUUGACCGCUCUAGAGAUAGAGUNUUCCCCUUCGGGGGACAAAGUGACAGGUGGUGCAUGGUUGUCGUCAGCUCGUGUCGUGAGAUGUUGGGUUAAGUCCCGCAACGAGCGCAACCCUUAAGCUUAGUUGCCAUCAUUAAGUUGGGCACUCUAAGUUGACUGCCGGUGACAAACCGGAGGAAGGUGGGGAUGACGUCAAAUCAUCAUGCCCCUUAUGAUUUGGGCUACACACGUGCUACAAUGGACAAUACAAAGGGCAGCUAAACCGCGAGGUCAAGCAAAUCCCAUAAAGUUGUUCUCAGUUCGGAUUGUAGUCUGCAACUCGACUACAUGAAGCUGGAAUCGCUAGUAAUCGUAGAUCAGCAUGCUACGGUGAAUACGUUCCCGGGUCUUGUACACACCGCCCGUCACACCACGAGAGUUUGUAACACCCGAAGCCGGUGGAGUAACCAUUUAUGGAGCUAGCCGUCGAAGGUGGGACAAAUGAUUGGGGGAAGUC
rnacentral:rRNA from 1 species